rnacentral:rRNA from 1 species
UCCGUAGGUGGAUAAUUAAGUCAGAGGUGAAAUCCUGCAGCUCAACUGUAGAAUUGCCUUUGAUACUGGUUGUCUUGAGUCAUUGUGAAGUAGUUAGAAUAUGUAGUGUAGCGGUGAAAUGCAUAGAUAUUACAUAGAAUACCGAUUGCGAAGGCAGAUUACUAACAAUGUACUGACACUGAUGGACGAAAGCGUGGGGAGCGAACAGGAUUAGAUACCCUGGUAGUC